rnacentral:rRNA from 1 species
CCUACGGGUGGCAGCAGUGAGGAAUAUUGGUCAAUGGACGAGAGUCUGAACCAGCCAAGUAGCGUGAAGGAUGACUGCCCUAUGGGUUGUAAACUUCUUUUAUAUGGGAAUAAAAUGUUCCACGUGUGGGAUUUUGUAUGUACCAUAUGAAUAAGGAUCGGCUAACUCCGUGCCAGCAGCCGCGGUAAUACGGAGGAUCCGAGCGUUAUCCGGAUUUAUUGGGUUUAAAGGGAGCGUAGGUGGAUUGUUAAGUCAGUUGUGAAAGUUUGGGGCUCAACCGUAAAAUUGCAGUUGAAACUGGCAGUCUUGAGUACAGGAGAGGUGGGCGGAAGUCGUGGUGUAGCGGUGAAAUGCUUAGAUAUCACGAAGAACUCCGAUUGCGAAGGCAGUUCACUGGACUGCAACUGACACUGAGGCUCGAAAGUGUGGGUAUCAAACAGGAUUAGAUACCCCUGUAGUC